UACGUAGGUGGCAAGCGUUGUCCGGAUUUACUGGGCGUAAAGCGUGCGCAGGCGGCUUUGCAAGACAGAUGUGAAAUCCCCGGGCUUAACCUGGGAACUGCAUUUGUGACUGCAUGGCUGGAGUGCGGCAGAGGGGGAUGGAAUUCCGCGUGUAGCAGUGAAAUGCGUAGAUAUCGAGGAAGACACUCAGUGGCGAAAGGCAGGCUCCCUGGGCACCACGUCGACCCGACCGUACUAGGCCAACCGGAAAAAGCGG
rnacentral:rRNA from 1 species